rnacentral:rRNA from 1 species
UCCUACGGGAGGCAGCAGUGGGGAAUUGUUCGCAAUGGGCGCAAGCCUGACGACGCAACGCCGCGUGGAGGACGAAGAUCUUCGGGUCGUAAACUCCUGUCGAGCGGGACGAAUGUUCCGCGAGCUAAUAUCUCGUGGAAGUGACGGUACCGCUAAAGGAAGCCCCGGCUAACUCCGUGCCAGCAGCCGCGGUAAU